rnacentral:misc_RNA from 1 species
GUCAGAACUCGGCAGCGGUAAAAUCUCAUGAAGAUCUUUUACAUCUUCUGCAGACUGCGGUGAAUAAGAAGACCAAGCAGGAAGGCUUCCAGCUCGCCUUAUUAUGCUCAGCUCAUCACUUCUCUCGGAUUGUGCAAGAAGCUUUGCAGCACCACUGUUCUGCCCCCCAAGAACGUUCCUAUUGCUAGGAAGUGUGCCAGAUGUGUUCCCAUUUCCCACUAUAUGAUACCCAAAACUAACAUUCAUGGUAGCCCCUUUAGCCUUACCUGACAAUUUGAAACUAGUCGUCCACCUACCUGAGCUUCUCUCAUCCUCCAAUUCUUCUAGUGUAAGAGGAAGCAACCUGGUAAGGUCAACCCGAUGCUUCCCCAAGUCAAGUUCAG